rnacentral:lncRNA from 1 species
GGAAAAUUGUGGUGUUGCCACAGAGAUAGGAUGUAAUGCAUGGGGAGGACCAGCCCUAUUCCCUGUGCUGGGGACCUGCUCUCUUGCUUUUCCCCCAGGUGCCACAUCCAUGGGUGACCUCAAGUCCCAUGGUGCCCAGCCUGAACCGUGGCAAAGCCCUGGGUUCAAAGCUCCCUGGGUGCUUUCCCUGGAAAAAACAAGGAGCAAACACCCCAGUAUGCCUCUGUGUGCUUGCAGCUAUGGAUACAUAUGUUCUAUACAGAGUUACGUCCUUUUGGCACCUGGGAUUCCUGCCAUCGCUGCAAUAUGAGCUCUGUCUGAAACUGCAUCCUCAGCCGUGCUGCCUCCACUGCCCUGCGUGUAGCCUCUUCGAUGAAACAGCAGCAGUGUAAGAAAGCUGAGGCCCAGAAGACAGACCAGGGUCCCAUCCUGUGCUUUGCUGGUCUGUGGAGCAACGCUG